GUCAUGAAACCCUGGUUCUGGUACGAUCACCGAAGUUAAGCAAAGUUGAAUCUGGUCAGUACCUAGAUUGGUGACCCCUUGGGAAUACCUGAUA